UACGUAGGGAGCGAGCGUUGUCCGGAAUUACUGGGUGUAAAGGGAGCGUAGGCGGGAUUUUAAGUCAGAUGUGAAAGGUAAGGGCUCAACCCUUGAACUGCAUUUGAAACUGAGAUUCUUGAGUGAAGUAGAGGUAAGCGGAAUUCCUAGUGUAGCGGUGAAAUGCGUAGAUAUUAGGAGGAACAUCGGUGGCGAAGGCGGCUUACUGGGCUUUUACUGACGCUGAGGCUCGAAAGCGUGGGGAGCAAACAGG
rnacentral:rRNA from 1 species